rnacentral:rRNA from 1 species
AGUGGCGAACGGGUGAGUAACACGUGAGUAACCUGCCCUUGACUCUGGGAUAAGCCUGGGAAACUGGGUCUAAUACCGGAUACGACUAUCUGACGCAUGUCAUGGUGGUGGAAAGCUUUUGCGGUUUUGGAUGGACUCGCGGCCUAUCAGCUUGUUGGUGGGGUAAUGGCCUACCAAGGCGACGACGGGUAGCCGGCCUGAGAGGGUGACCGGCCACACUGGGACUGAGACACGGCCCAGACUCCUACGGGAGGCAGCAGUGGGGAAUAUUGCACAAUGGGCGAAAGCCUGAUGCAGCGACGCCGCGUGAGGGAUGACGGCCUUCGGGUUGUAAACCUCUUUCAGUAGGGAAGAAGCGAAAGUGACGGUACCUGCAGAAGAAGCGCCGGCUAACUACGUGCCAGCAGCCGCGGUAAUACGUAGGGCGCAAGCGUUAUCCGGAAUUAUUGGGCGUAAAGAGCUCGUAGGCGGUUUGUCGCGUCUGCUGUGAAAGACCGGGGCUCAACUCCGGUUCUGCAGUGGGUACGGGCAGACUAGAGUGCAGUAGGGGAGACUGGAAUUCCUGGUGUAGCGGUGAAAUGCGCAGAUAUCAGGAGGAACACCGAUGGCGAAGGCAGGUCUCUGGGCUGUAACUGACGCUGAGGAGCGAAAGCAUGGGGAGCGAACAGGAUUAGAUACCCUGGUAGUCCAUGCCGUAAACGUUGGGCACUAGGUGUGGGGGACAUUCCACGUUUUCCGCGCCGUAGCUAACGCAUUAAGUGCCCCGCCUGGGGAGUACGGCCGCAAGGCUAAAACUCAAAGGAAUUGACGGGGGCCCGCACAAGCGGCGGAGCAUGCGGAUUAAUUCGAUGCAACGCGAAGAACCUUACCAAGGCUUGACAUGAACCGGAAAGACCUGGAAACAGGUGCCCCGCUUGCGGUCGGUUUACAGGUGGUGCAUGGUUGUCGUCAGCUCGUGUCGUGAGAUGUUGGGUUAAGUCCCGCAACGAGCGCAACCCUCGUUCUAUGUUGCCAGCGCGUUAUGGCGGGGACUCAUAGGAGACUGCCGGGGUCAACUCGGAGGAAGGUGGGGACGACGUCAAAUCAUCAUGCCCCUUAUGUCUUGGGCUUCACGCAUGCUACAAUGGCCGGUACAAAGGGUUGCGAUACUGUGAGGUGGAGCUAAUCCCAAAAAGCCGGUCUCAGUUCGGAUUGGGGUCUGCAACUCGACCCCAUGAAGUCGGAGUCGCUAGUAAUCGCAGAUCAGCAACGCUGCGGUGAAUACGUUCCCGGGCCUUGUACACACCGCCCGUCAAGUCACGAAAGUU